rnacentral:miRNA from 1 species
ACUGGCAGCCAUGUGACUCUGA